rnacentral:rRNA from 1 species
UACGGGGGGGGCAAGCGUUGUUCGGAAUUCCUGGGCGUAAAGGGCUCGUAGGUGGCCAACUAAGUCACACGUGAAAUCCCUCGGCUUAACCGGGGAACUGCGUGUGAUACUGGAUGGCUUGAGUUUGGGAGAGGGAUGCGGAAUUCCAGGUGUAGCGGUGAAAUGCGUAGAUAUCUGGAGGAACACCGGUGGCGAAGGCGGCAUCCUGGACCAAUACUGACGCUGAGGAGCGAAAGCCAGGGGAGCAAACGGG